AUUAUGGUGCACUUCAUAUAGAAUGUGGUGGAAGACAAUGCAUAAUGACUGAAAAAGAAGUCAAUGACAUGAGUUCCCUGUCGGCUAGUCCGUGGUCGUCCUUCCAUUCCUCUAUCACCCUGUCUGCUAGGGGACCAGGUACUCCGGUGCGACAAUCAGAAAGAACGGCUACCAAGCAAGACUUUAGUGGAACAAUAACCUCUGAUCUGCAACAGCGUUUCACAGAGCUAGAUCUCCUCAUUGAAUAUAAACUGUUGUGUUUGAAUUCAACUAAAGGAGUGUAUGUGCUACCGUCCUCAAAGUCUCUGUUCGAGUGGCAUGGUGUUAUCUUUGUCCAUUCUGGGCCAUUCAAAGACGGUGUGUUCAGGUUUACCAUGUUCAUCCCAGAUGGUUUCCCCAAGCAACGUCCUCUGGUUCGGUUUCACUCUCGGAUCUAUCACCCCUACAUUCAUUCAAGCAAUAGGGUAUUGAAUAUGAUGAGAGCAUUCCCUUCGUGGGACCCACAGAAGCAUCAUCUCUGGAACAUUAUUCGGUACACACAAGAUUGUUUCUACAACCCUGAGACAUGGCAAGAAGCUGACCAGAAUGUAUUGAUACCGCAGGCCCAAACCUCUGCUUUAGAAUCGUUCAAGAAUGUGUAUGAUCCCGUGGAUGGUAGGUCAAUGUCGGUCUGGUAUGAGUACCUGAUACUGUACAUGUCAGCACCUCUCAAUUGUGUUACCAUAGAACUGAGUAAUUAUUCAGCUAGAGGCUGUAGACUACUGAGGCCUACUUGUGAGUAUACAGAAGGCAAUGUGAGCAUACAGCUGCCUUUGUCCAAAGUUGUCAUAUGAAAACCUUAACCUACCACUGAUAAAUCAGGAGGUGAUGGUAGAAAUUCGAUUUGCUUUAGCCAGUUCAGUUCAGACCAGUUUGAAACAGCUAUCCAAACAUUGAUUAAAGGGGACCUUCCCACUACCAAACAGUCUGGAAACACGCACAGCAUGCUGUCAAAUGUUACUGGCC